UACGAAGGGGGCUAGCGUUGCUCGGAAUCACUGGGCGUAAAGCGCACGUAGGCGGAUUGCUAAGUCAGGGGUGAAAUCCUGGAGCUCAACUCCAGAACUGCCUUUGAUACUGGCGAUCUCGAGUCCGGGAGAGGUGAGUGGAACUGCGAGCGUAGAGGUGAAAUUCGUAGAUAUUCGCAAGAACACCAGUGGCGAAGGCGGCUCACUGGCCCGGUACUGACGCUGAGGUGCGAAAGCGUGGGGAGCAAACAGG
rnacentral:rRNA from 1 species